CGAAACGGGUGAGUAACGCGUGAGGAACCUGCCUCAAAGAGGGGGACAACAGUUGGAAACGACUGCUAAUACCGCAUAAGCCCACGGUGCCGCAUGGCACAGAGGGAAAAGGAGCAAUCCGCUUUGAGAUGGCCUCGCGUCCGAUUAGCUAGUUGGUGAGGUAACGGCCCACCAAGGCGACGAUCGGUAGCCGGACUGAGAGGUUGAACGGCCACAUUGGGACUGAGACACGGCCCAG
rnacentral:rRNA from 1 species